CGUCCCUUUUCUGUCUCCUGCCCCACCGCGGGCUCUUCGGCCUGUCCAUCUGGGAGAUGGGGCUCUUCUGGGGUGGCUUGGAAGAGGCUCAGAACAGCCUCUCCUGAGUUUGUUAGGAAGUGGGGUGUUUUUCUUGGAGUGGAGAAGACUUAGGUAUGGGAGAGCUAUCCCCAAAUGUCUUCUUUUUCCCUUAGCUCUUUUUUAAGUGGUGGUCAGAUAUAACAUACAGCAUUUUAACCAUUUUUAAGGAUACAGUUCUGCAGCAUUACAUACAUUCAUGUUGUUGUGCAGCCAUCCACCUCAUCCCUGCAACUUUUUCCUCUGCCCCAUUUCAGCUGAAACUGUCCCUACUAAAAAACAACUCCCACUCCUUGCCUCCCAGCCCUGGCACCACUGUUCUUCUCUGUCCCUCUGAAUUUGACUCACCUUGGCAUCUCAGAGCGGUGGAGUCUCGGAGUUGGUGGGAACUGCGGAGGCGCUCCGGUCCAGCCCCCGCCCCAGCCAGUGAGGGAGGCCCUUGCACACGGCUCCCUGAGACCUUGCCUGCCUGCCCCGUGUUCAGAAGCACCAGGGAUGAGCCACCUCCUGACAGCCUCUUCUGCUGUUCCUUAGAGGGACGGGCCACUGCCGCCUCCCCCACACUUCUGUCAGCCCAGUGACUCUGACCUUAUUUCCGCUUUAUGGUGAGGGAGCCUUCUUCCUAGCUUACAGUAGCACCGUUCCCUUCUUGGCUCUUUGCACUUAUCAGGCUUUCUGAUCCCAGGGAAAGGACCUCGGUGUUGAUCCUUGUUUGGUGAGUGAGUCCUGGGCACGCUGGCCAGACUUGCCUGCCUGCAGCCUUUGGUGUGCCCCCCACCUCUGGCUUGGGAAUAGCCCCCCUGCUCCCCUUGUACCAGGUUUCUCCCCAAGCUGAGUCUCAGGAUUCGGAGCCAAGCACCCAGACUUGAGUCUUCAGGGGAGAGGAUCUUACCCAGAUGUGAAGGUCCCUCCUUGGGCACUGCUCUGCUCAGACCAACAUCUGGUUGCCCGGGGAUCCUGGUUCACUCCAGCACAGGCUCUUGCCUGGAGAGGGCCCGGCCCCUGCCUUACCCACUUCCCCG